GUCUAGCAUUUCAGUAUUUGAAUUUAGGGGAGGACACCUAUACCAAUCCAUCACACUCUCCUUUAUACACCUUUACAUUUUGCACACUUCUGGACAUCUCGGAAUCCAAUUCCAACCAUGCUGUUCAGUGUUGACUAGAGACCAUGGUAUUAUUGUGUGGCUUUUGAGGACCCUUCAAUGAAGAACAUUUAUUUGGGGCCCCUCUGAUAAAAAUUUCUCACUCAAGAAUUCCAUUUAGAAGGACUCUCAUUCAAAUGCAGAAAGGAAUGGAGCCUAAAGGGAAGAUGUAAGUGACUCCCUGACAUAGACAGACUGAGGAACAG